GCACUCGCUUCAGCAGCACAUAUACUAAAAUUGGAACAACACGGAGAUUAGCAUGGCCCUGGCGCAAGGAUUACACGCAAAUUCGUGAAGCGUUCCAUAUUUUU
ensembl:snRNA U6 U6 spliceosomal RNA